ensembl:ncRNA asRNA:CR43979 antisense RNA:CR43979
AAACAACAGGUCGGCAGGCUGCACAAAGUCCGCUCGGUAGAAUCCCUCUAGCGAAUGCAAAGUGGCCACUAGCAGGCACAGUAUUCUCUCCCAGUUGAUCAGCAAGGGACCGAGGGCGCUGAGCGGCUCCAGUGCCGACUGUCUUUGCCAGAUUUCGAGUGUUUGGACUGCCUGUCGAUGCUUGAGAAGCAGUUGUAACUGUGACUGCAGAUGACUCAGAUAGUAGUGAUACUGCCGCUGGAACUGCCUUUGGUUUUGAAGUGUGUAUCCGCCAGAACACAUAAGCAAACGUAGUUGUCUGGGCCACGCUGCUCCCAACUGAAGCUGGAGAAGCGUCUGCGCGUAUGUGCUGGACUGCUGCAGAUGUCGCAUUGGAGGCGCAGGUUGAAGGGAAUGUAUUUGACCCGAGGCAUUGAGCAGUAGUGUAUGGUAGUCGCCGCAAGUCGCCUCAAGCGCCGAGUUUUGUUCUAUGGGUAGUGCUGCCGUGUUUUCCGUAAUUGUGAUCUCCAUGGGCGAGCUGACAUCUUCACCCAACUGAGAGUGGUUGUUCAGGCCCCAGUGGUAGAGCCUUCCGUCCAGAGUGCGGGCCACCGUGUGCUCUAAUCCAGCUGCAAUGCUGCACACGCCCAUGCUGUCUAGUUUCUGCAAGCGCAUCACAUUGGCCCUCCGGAUAUGAUCCCCACUGCCCAGGAGACCAUUAUUGGAGGCUCCGAAUGUGAAAAGUUGGGUGUGGAGCAGAGCGUAUCCUUGGUGAAGAAGGUGCCUUGUGUUAGCCGCAACGCUGCGCUCCGAGUGGCCACUGCUUAUGGAUUUUACAGAGGCCCGUUCAUCCUCGGGUUCUUCCUUCGCACUGGCCACCGACAGCUGGAGUGCAUCGUCGGCCAGGUUGUAGGGAGCUACUAACAUCACAAAGUGCUCGUUUCCGGCUGCUAAGUCCAACAGUUCCUUGCCCUCUUCGUAAAGGCGCAUGUGCCGAGGCUGUUGUUCUGCCUUGAAGACUUCGCCGCAGCUGCCCAUGACAUAGGUCUCCCCACUAGCGCCGACGAAGACAACGCCCUGGGCGGAGCAGCAAACCCGUCGGAUGCGUACGCCCUCAGCAUGCAAUUCGAGAGGGUCGAAACCGAGGGUUUGCCACGCAUGUGGAUGACCCACAUCCCGGCCAGAUCCCGUGGCUUGGCGCUGCACAGAGCCAUUGGUGAGGACUACGAAUAGUUCCUGACUGCCGGAGCAGAAGUCCAUAUCCACAACAUCGGUACGCAGGAGUUGAAGAUCCAUGUGUUCGCGGUUGGCCUGCAGCUUGGCGGAGUAGAGGGCGUGGUCAGUGGUCAGAAGGAGCAGUUCCCCGCCGGCAUUGCUGCAAAUCCGGGAUGCGGGAAACCGCUGCAGGGGCGGCAAUCCGCGCCAGUGAAGCUGUAGCUCCCUGCCUUCAUGAUAGAUGGUGAAGGACUCCCGCUCCUCCUGACCCCCAAGUGCCGAGUCAUCCGCUGCACUGGCCAUGAUGUGCAAAUUUUUGUUGGGGUUUUGGACAGGGCCAAAGCUUUGUAACACGACGCAAUUGCUCGAUUUGUCUGCAGGUCGUUCUCACAUCGUGCACGUGCUCCGGUCCACGCUAGGCACUACUGGCACCAACGAACAUCAUAUAACUUGAUUCGGAAUGCAACUCUAGCUGCCACGAUAAAAUAAAUUCUGUUUUCACUUGUUCUUAACUGGCU